rnacentral:rRNA from 1 species
CUACGGGAUGCUGCAGUGGGGAAUAUUGGACAAUGGGGGAAACCCUGAUCCAGCAAUGCCGCGUGUGUGAAGAAGGCCUGCGGGUUGUAAAGCACUUUCGGUUGGGAGGACUGCUUCUAGCACUAAUAUUGUUGGAAGUUGACGUUACCUUCAGAAGAAGCACCGGCUAACUCCGUGCCAGCAGCCGCGGUAAUACGGAGGGUGCAAGCGUUAAUCGGAAUUACUGGGCGUAAAGCGCGCGUAGGCGGCUAGAUCAGUCGGGUGUGAAAGCCCCGGGCUUAACCUGGGAACUGCAUCCGAUACUGUCUAGCUUGAGUACAGGAGAGGAGAGUGGAAUUCCACAUGUAGCGGUGAAAUGCGUAGAUAUGUGGAAGAACACCAAUGGCGAAGGCAGCUCUCUGGCCUGAUACUGACGCUGAGGAGCGAAAGCGUGGGGAGCAAACAGGAUUAGAUACCCGUGUAGUC